rnacentral:lncRNA from 1 species
AUCUUUCCUAGUUGUGUCCAUUUCCCCUCCCUGGCUUCUCCUGCAGCAUCUUUCCCUGUAGUUGUGUCCAUUUCCCCUCCCUGGCUUCUCCUGUAGCAUCUUUCCUAGUUGUGUCCAUUUCCCCUCCCUGGCUUCUCCUCCUGCAGCAUCUUUCCCUGUAGUUGUGUCCAUUCCCCCUCCCUGGCUUCUCCUGUAGCAUCUUUCCUAGUUGUGUCCAUUUCCCCUCCCUGGCUUCUCCUGUAGCAUCUUUCCCUGUAGUUGUGUCCAUUUCCCC